rnacentral:rRNA from 1 species
AAUGCGAUAAGUAAUGUGAAUUGCAGAAUUCAGUGAAUCAUCGAAUCUUUGAACGCACAUUGCGCCCGCCAGUAUUCUGGCGGGCAUGCCUGUUCGAGCGUCAUUUCAACCCUCAAGCUCAGCUUGGUGUUGGGACUCGCGGUAACCCGCGUUCCCCAAAUCGAUUGGCGGUCACGUCGAGCUUCCAUAGCGUAGUAAUCAUACACCUCGUUACUGGUAAUCGUCGCGGCCACGCCGUAAAACCCCAACUUCUGAAUGUUGACCUCGGAUCAGGUAGGAAUACCCGCUGAACUUAAGCAUAUCAAUAAGCGAGAAAGAAAAAG